GACGGCCGCAGGAAGCACUGGGCACGUAUGGAGCUCUGGGUCAGUUCUGGGCUCCGCAGCUCCAGGCAGCCUCUCCUGUGGAAGCGCUGCAGGGAAGCUGCUCUGGGGGAAGGUUGUACUGCGCUCAUCUGCAGAGGUCCCUUCCAGCCCCUGUGCUUCUGUGACAGGCGGAUGUGUGAAGGGAGACGGCCAGCAGGUGGAAGUUUGGUGGCUUUGCAGAGUCAGAGCGCCGCAGCCCUGCGAUGCCACCGCUUGUUUGAGCGUCAUCAGCCACGUCCCUCCCUUUGUCUCCCUUCACUGCAAUGGGAGCUGAGUCGAGGGAAGCUGCAGGGCUGGGGCACCCACGGCCUGUCUGGGCAGCAGUGCCAGGGCCUCGGCUGCCUCUGGGAUGAACUUCCCUGACAUCUAAUCCAAAUCUGCCCCCUUUAUGUUAAAACCGUUCCCCUUUGUCCCAUCACCAUCUCGACGCGUAAAAAGUUCAUUUCCAUCAAGUUUAUCAUCUCCACUGAAACAAUGGAAGGCCACAGUGAGCAGCCACAGCGAGUGUUGGUGACGGGGCAGGCAGAGAGCAAUGCCUGUGACAGUGUCACAGAGAAUCCUUGUGAGCUCAGGGGAGAGGGGCUGACCUCAGCGGUCACGGAACCCCCCACUGCCACUCUUGAGCUCCCGCGGCAGGUAAGGCAGCAGGCUGCUCUGCUCCUGGCACUGCGGCCCUCCGGGUGAUCCCAGUGCCCCAGAUCUCACCCCAGUACCCAUUUGGGCAUUUCCCCACAGAGAGAAUCCCUUCAGGGACGCUGACGGUGCUUCCGACACCCGACGCUGCUUUCUUUGGAUCCCUUGUGCCACCACCGGCCACUGCUGCAAUGCAGCCCAGCAUCGGCGGAGCAGUGCCGGUGUCACCGCAACCGCUCCCUGUCCCCAGUGUCAUCCACGUGGUGCCUCAGGCCUCCGUCUGGCCUGGGCUACCAGGUGUCCAGGGACAGGGAACACAGCUCCCACCUGGGGGGCUGCCUCCAGCCGUGGUUCAGCUGCCACCCGGGGGGCAGCACUUACCGCUGCUGCAGUUGCUACCUUGGGAACUGCACCCAGGCAUGGCUCCCCCCACGGCCCCUGCCCACUGCUGGGGACAUCCCCUGCUGGCAGGGACGCCGCAGCCCCAGCGGCCGAUGGGGCUGUGGCCUGGGGCCGUGUUCCAUGGGGAGCCCCCGCAGCCCGCAGGCAGCUGCCCGCUGCAGGCCUCCGGCAGCCCCGUCCUUCUGCCAGCACCUUCGGUGCAGCAGCAGGUGCUCCCUGUGCCCUGCACGCUGCCCGCCAGCUGGGAGCAGGCGGUGGGGCCCUUUGGAGAUGUCGUGCUGCUCACGGAGGACCAGGGGCACCCAGCGCCCACCAACGUGUGCCCCCAUCCCACCACGGCUCCACUCACCUGCAGCACCGCAGCGCUGGAAUCAGGUGCAGCGACAACGAACGCAGACAUCUCGCAGGACACCAUGGACAUCGAUGACCUCCUGACGUGGAUGAACAGCGAAGUGACAUCCAGCACAGAGAUCCCGGACGACAUCCCGGACAUGGAUGACCUCCUGGCGUGGGUCAACAACGGUGAGUCUGGGGGCUGCAGAGCUGGUGGGGGGGUGUCUGCAUUGGGUGGCUGUGGGAAUGCUGUGAUCAUCAUUCUGGGGGAUGUUCUUGCUUUUUCAGAAGUGACGAGCCCUCUGGAGAUCCCCCAGCAGAACCAGGACCUCGUUGAUGUCCAAGCAGAGGGGACCGAUUGCACUGAGACUGUGGAAAAUGGUCACAGUGAGCUGCUGCCAGAACUGAACGUCCAGGAAAGGGCAGAGCUGCUGUGGUGGAUCGAUGCCACGCAGCCACCGAGCCCAGCUGUCCCCAGCAGCCUCGACAGCGCUCCUUUCAUCGCAGCGCUCCCUGACUUUCCCUGGGCCGGCACGGAGCUCAGCGGAGAGGCAGAGGCUGAUGCCAGGCCCAUCAACGACCUGUUCUGGAGG
ensembl:lncRNA